rnacentral:rRNA from 1 species
GCGCUUUACUGCGCGGCCACAACCUCUACACAGUGAAGUAAUUUGUUGCUUUAGGUGCUUUGGGAGGACGUCUGUCCGCCCAGGGUCACCCCCUAACCACAUUUUUUAAUGUUGAUUUCCAAGUAAAUGUCAGAUUUAUUACUACUAAAUCAAAACUUUCAACAACGGAUCUCUUGGUUCUCGCAACGAUGAAGAACGCAGCGAAUUGCGAUAAGUAUUGUGAAUUGCAGAUUUUCGUGAAUCAUCGAAUCUUUGAACGCACAUUGCACCCUCUGGUAUUCCGGAGGGUAUGCCUGUUUGAGCGUCAUUUCUCUCUCAAGGAGCCUGGCUUCUUGGUGUUGGGCGGUACCGUGCAGCAAGUACGGUUAGCCUGAAAUAGUUUUGGCAGGAGUGUCUAAGGAGGCUCCUUCUGGCAUAAUGUAUUAGGUUCUACCAACUCGUUAUCAGGAAGGGAAGCACGCCCUAGAGCCCACCCGGUCUAACAACCAAUGACACAAAGCUUGACCUCAAAUCAGGUAGGACUACCCGC